UACGGUGGGGGCAAGCGUUGUUCGGAAUUACUGGGCGUAAAGGGCUCGUAGGUGGCCAACUAAGUCAGACGUGAAAUCCCUCGGCUUAACCGGGGAACUGCGUCUGAUACUGGACGGCUUGAGUUUGGGAGAGGGACGCGGAAUUCCAGGUGUAGCGGUGAAAUGCGUAGAUAUCUGGAGGAACACCGGUGGCGAAGGCGGCGUCCUGGACCAACACUGACACUGAGGAGCGAAAGCCAGGGGAGCAAACGGG
rnacentral:rRNA from 1 species